UAACCACAUUACGUGCUUUAAACUGCUAUUGUAAAACAAACUUUUUGCAAAACUCUAAAAACACAGCUAUCUACAUUAUACACAUCAUUCAAAAGUAGCAGCUCUUUUGUUCCAUUUGGAAAAACACUGCCAUUUAAAUGCCACACUCAUUUAAUGAUGACCUUCAGCCAGUGAUCAUGUGUAAAAACAGACAUAAUUUGUUCACUUAGAAAUCAAAACGAAAGAUUUUUACCCCCUUGCAUUUCUGUUUACAUUGUAUAUAUAUAUGUAUGUAUAUCUAUAUAUAUAUAUAUGUAUAUCUAUAUACUGUGUGUGUGUGUGUGUGCGCGCGGUUUGCCCUCAUUCUUCUCUUCUUUCUUUAUUAGUUAAGUCUCUACAGCACGUCUGCAUGAUCUUGAGCAGUUUAAGCUCCUUCACAGCUCUGUUAUGGCGAAUGUUCAAAACAGGAUUCUUCAUCUGGAUCUCUCUAUCAUCAUUAUUUUCCUGAUUCAUGCAGAUUAUUCCAAAUCUAAUCAAGAGCAAAGGAUUCGGCAGCACAUCAACAAAACAGUGUUUGUGGGGGAAACAGUUACACUUCACUGCAACAAAACCCAAUUAGAUGAUGAUUUCACAUGGAAAAUGAACAGCUUCGUUAUUUUUAGGCAGGACUCUGAAAGAAACAGAACAAUGAGAAACUUCAGCUCCGACAGGAUUCACAUCGACCCCGCAGCUCCAAGAGAAUUAACAAUACAUCAAAUACAAGCAUCUGAUGCAGGAAACUACAGCUGUUACCCAGCAGCAAUAAGAUGGACAUUAACAAUAACAGAAAAUCAGAUCAGACCAGAAUCACCCAAACAAAUGCCGCUGAACAUCAUCAUUAUCAUCAUCAUCACCAUCAGUAUCUGCAUUCACAGAGAGAAUGUUUUGAUUGUAUUUUGGUGGUGUUUAUACAUAUCCUUCUAAAAUGUCCAAGCAUCCAAACAUCACUACAUUUUUUAAAUAUUUAUACAAUGGUUCUUCCGACAACUCCAGCCAACUUAUCAUUAUCAAAACAAACAGAUUUCUACUUUUUCAUAUUGUUAUGCUGGUCACAUUAAAACUGUCUUGGACACAUUUCCCCUGCCUUCAUCAAUUAUUUCUACUAUUUUCAAAUGUAUUCUCUGCAUUUAUUUUAUUGCUGUAUUCUUGUCCUGGUCCCAUGAUUUUUUUUUAUAAUAAAAACUGUAUUUAUUAUUAUUAUUUAAAGAAA
ensembl:lncRNA